rnacentral:tRNA from 1 species
GCUCUAGAAGCUGAAAGAAAAGCAUCGGUCUUGUAAACCGAAAGCUGGGGGUUAAAAUCCCCCCUAGUGCA